rnacentral:rRNA from 1 species
UAGGGAAUCUUCCACAAUGGACGAAAGUCUGAUGGAGCAACGCCGCGUGAGUGAAGAAGGGUUUCGGCUCGUAAAACUCUGUUGUUAAGGAAGAACAUAUCUGAGAGUAACUGUUCAGGUAUUGACGGUAUUUAACCAGAAAGCCACGGCUAACUACGCGCCAG